rnacentral:lncRNA from 1 species
GGAAAAAGAAUAUUCCUUCAAAAUUUCAUCUCACCAUGGCUGAUUCUGCAUCCAAAGGAAGCCUAAGGGUGGGUUUGGAUGGGCAAUUGGGUGCGGUGCAGUGCGUUUAAAUUACUUUUUGUCUCACGCUACAGUGUCGCUACAGUAUCUAAUAUCACAGCUACCGCUGUUUUUACACUAAGCGCAGGUAAACGCACCGCCCAUCCAAACUCACUCUUAGUAGAUUUUGACCAUCGUUUCAAUCGACCACCGUAAAUAUUCAGUUCUUCUUUCCUUCUUUUGGAUUAAGGACAUUCCGAUCUCCAGC